ACUUAAAUAGCUUAUACAAAGAGUAUGAUAUUGAAGAUAUCAAGGAAACGACAUGUUUUUAGGUA
rnacentral:tRNA from 1 species